rnacentral:rRNA from 1 species
CCUACGGGGGGCAGCAGUGAGGAAUAUUGGUCAAUGGGAGAGAUCCUGAACCAGCCAAGCCGCGUGAGGGAAGACGGCCCUAUGGGUUGUAAACCUCUUUUGUCGGGGAACAAAACCCGGGACGAGUCCCGGACUGCGUGUAUCCGAAGAAAAAGCAUCGGCUAACUCCGUGCCAGCAGCCGCGGUAAUACGGGGGAUGCGAGCGUUGUCGGGGUUUAUUGGGUUUAAAGGGUGCGAAGGGGGACGGUUAAGUCAGCGGGAAAAUGGCGGGGAUAAACCCCGUCGAGCCGUUGAAACUGGCAGACUUGAGUUGGCGAGAGGUACGCGGAAUUCGCGGUGUAGCGGUGAAAUGCAUAGAUAUCGCGAAGAACUCCGAUUGCGAAGGCAGCGUACUGGCGCCAGACUGACGCUGAGGCACGAAAGCGUGGAGAGCGAACAGGAUUAGAUACCCGUGUAGUC